rnacentral:rRNA from 1 species
GACAGAGGGUGCAAACGUUGUUCGGAAUUACUGGGCGUAAAGCGCGUGUAGGCGGUCUAAAAAGUCAGGUGUGAAAGCCCCGGGCUCAACCCGGGAAGUGCACUUGAAACUGCUAGGCUAGAGUACUGGAGAGGUUGGUGGAAUUCUCGGUGUAGAGGUGAAAUUCGUAGAUAUCGAGAGGAACACCGGUGGCGAAGGCGGCCAACUGGACAGAUACUGACGCUGAGACUCGAAAGCGUGGGGAGCAAACAGG